rnacentral:lncRNA from 1 species
AUGCUUUGAGGCAAUGUCCAACCAAAGAAUUCAAAGAUGAGUAAUCUUGUUUUGCUUUCUUAACACAAAAUGUCUUCUUGCUUUUGUUGUUCUUCUCUCAUCCACAUAUGAAAACUAAGUAGUUAGAUGAUUAGAUUUUUAUAUAUAGUGUGGUCAAUUAUUUUCUCAUAUCUUUUGAGAAGGGUACAAUACUUAUCUUCAAGAUCUGUAUGUUUCUUGGUUUUAAGCCCAUACUAGCUAUACUAGCUUUGAUGUCAUCAUCUUGGUUUCAUUUAUGUCUUUUCUUGAAAUCUAAUUAGCCCUUUUUGAAAUAUCUUACAGAGAAAUAUCAGUGAACUGGAUAAGAUCAUUUGGGGUAAAUUCGAUCAUUUCCCUUAUGAGUAGGCUACAGAGACAAACAUCUUUGAUCUUUCUUUGCAUUUAUUGUCUUAGUAAGGCACUUUGGUUCUUUUCUCUCAUAUUGUCAACUAGCAAUUAAGGUUUUGUCUACCUUACUUUUAUUUCAGACAUAUACAUGGCCUUUAGAUGAGUUUCAGGACCAGAUCUUAGAUAUGUUAGGUAAUAUGACACUUUCAUUGAUUUAAGUUUCCUCAUUAAUAGCUCUUUCUGUCAAUCUAGUGUACGUUUGAUUUAACCCUUUCAAGCUAAGACAAAACUCAUAUCUCUCUCUCUUGAGUCUUGAGACUAAAUCCAAAAAAGGUAAAACUUGGUGGAGCCAAUUUUUGGAAUGUCUCUCUGCUUAUUUUGCUGAAUUUGAGAUCUGUGUUUUUAACUGACCAUAAUGUUUUGUUUUCACUCUCCAAUCAUUUGUCACUCUUUGAGUAACUUUUUCUUAGGUGCAAAAGGUCUCUAAGAAACCCUUUUAAAUUGAUUUGAUCAUGGACUCAACAAGACAUUAUUAUAAGUUUACAUAUCUUUCUCACUCAGUAGAAAUUAUAGAUAAAGAGAGAUCAGAGAUUGAAAUCUUUUUCUUUUACUUUCUUGCAAUCACUGACUAUAAAGAAGAGAUGAUUGUGUGUGAGAAAUCGAGCUGUUGCUGAUCCUUCUUCGUGUUUCGAAACUCUUAGGUUUAGUAGUCUCCAUUGGGAAUCUAGGAACGUAACUCGGUUGUGUCUUGUUCAUGCUGCUUCUUCUGUCUAAAUCACCAGAAACCAUAACAGAUUUAUGACUCUUGCAGCUCAUCAAGAAACCAUUCCCUCCGCUGCUGCUACUCGAUUUCCGUCUCUGCGGUGCUGAUUUAGCGGUAAUAGGGAUUCGAGGAAUCUGAGUAGGUCGGUUUCUUCUUACAGGACUUGUUGCACAUUCUGACAUAACAGAGAAAUCUGCUGCACUUGCUGUCACUAUGCUCCACUCUACGCUUACUUCACUUGGCGCAUAACACGUAGGUGAAGCUGG